rnacentral:pre_miRNA from 1 species
UGAUGAUGAUGAUGAUGAUGAUGAUGAUGAUGAUGAGGACGGUGAUGAUGUUGAUCAGCAUCGUUAUCAUCAUCCUCAUCAUCAUCAUCGUCGGAU